GCCGGCGUGGCGAAACUGGUAGACGCAGAUGCCUCACAAGCAUCUGGGCGAAAGCCCGUCCCGGUUCGAAUCCGGGCGCCGGCA
rnacentral:tRNA from 1 species